CCGUGCAGCCGGGGUGGUAGCGGUACCUUGAACCUGCAAUCCGCUAUAGCAGGGGUGAUAUUGCGCAGAGGGCGACAGUCUGCAGGGCUGCCCCCGGAAAGUGACGUUGACGUCUGGGUCUCACGCGACGGGACUCUGUGAACCGUGUCAGGUCGGGAACGGAGCAGCACUAAGCAGAACCUCUCGGGUGCCGUGAGGGUGCCUAGGCUGAGUUAACUACCGGGGUAACGCUUGUGGGCCAAGUUCGAAGCGCAAUGCACGU
rnacentral:SRP_RNA from 1 species